ensembl:Y_RNA Y_RNA Y RNA
AGCUGGUCCAAAGGUUGUGACUUAUCUCAGUUGGUUGUUCACAGUCAGUUACAGAUCGAACUCCUCGCUCUACUCUUUCCCGCCUUGUCACAACUGCACUUGACUAGUCUAAA